GACGAACGCUGGCGGCGUGCCUAAUACAUGCAAGUAGGACGCAGUUGCGAACGGGUGAGUAACGCGUAGGUAACUACCUAUUAGAGGGGGAUAACUACUGGAAACGAUAGCUAAUACCGCAUACUAGUAGAUUUACCUUCGUUGUAUUAGCUAGUAGGUAGGGUAAUGGCCUACCUAGGCAACGAUACAUAGCCGACCUGAGAGGGAGAACCGACACAAUGGGAAUGGGGAACUGCCCAGACUCCUACGGGGUGCAGGAGUAGGGAAUCUUCGGCAAUGGGGGGAACCCUGGCCGAGCAACGGCGCGGUAGUGAAGAAGGUUUUCGGAUCGUAAAACUCUGUUGUUCAGGAAGCGGUACUUAAAGAGAAAGGGACGGCUAACUACGUGCCAGCCGCCGCGGUAAUAG
rnacentral:rRNA from 1 species